rnacentral:rRNA from 1 species
UACGAAGGGGGCUAGCGUUGUUCGGAAUUACUGGGCGUAAAGGGCGCGCAGGCGGCUCUUCAAGUCAGAUGUGAAAGCCCCGGGCUCAACCUGGGAACUGCAUUUGAGACUGGAGAGCUUGAGUUCGGGAGAGGAGAGCGGAAUUCCCAGUGUAGAGGUGAAAUUCGUAGAUAUUCGCAAGAACACCAGUGGCGAAGGCGGCUCACUGGCCCGGUACUGACGCUGAGGCACGAAAGCGUGGGGAGCAAACAGG